UUGUCUUUUAUGCUAUAGCUAUUCAACCUUCAACCAAAAUCGCUCUCUGUUCAGCGGGAGUGUCAGAGUUGUUAUCUCCCCAGAUUGUUCCUUUGGUCUCUAGUCAAUAGUUUUUAGCUUUUAUUAAAUCACUCUGUUUUUGGUCUUUAUAAUCACAUACAAUAAUAAAAUCACAAUGGUUACAGGUUAUAAUGUUUCAAUGGCUCAUAUUCUAUUACAGCGUUAUAUUCUAAAGCAAUGCAAUUCUUUUAUGCCACUUUUAAUGCCUUAUUACUUUAAUGCAUAAACAAUUCCUCAAAUAAUAUAAAAUAUUAUUUACCUUUUAAAAAAUGCUCUUUGGCUGAAGGUCCCCUCUGAAUCAGAUCCUUUAUUUCAAACAGUUACUUUUUAGCAAUUUAGAAAGGUCCCUUUCUAACUACUUAUGAUAAAUUACUUCGCUGUUAAGAUUAGAUUCAAAGUCUAGGCUAACACCGUCUCUUUGGUCCAGAUACAAUAUCAACUGAAUAAGUUUUUAUCACUUCGGGUUUAUAGGUAUCAUUCCGGGUUUAUAGUAUUUCUAGGGUUUUGAGACCCGUCUUGUCUGUAGUAUGCCAAACACUGUUAUAACAUCAAGCGGGGCUAGCCCAGAUGGAAUCGUUAUAGACAGAUACUUCCCGCAAUGUACCAACAAUCCUUCCUCAAAUCACUUAAAAAUACAACCGGCGUUUGCAAAUGACGAAAUAGCUACUCAAUCGUUGUCUUUGUAAAUGCGUUAAAGAGUACAGUGUAAUUUACCUUUCUUUGCUGGAUGAUUUCUCUAAGUAAUGUCCAAAUCACUAUGGUGGAGAAGUCAUGCCUUAGCAUUGAGUUCUUCCACUAUAUAUACUAUUUUCUUUCAGAGGAAACCUUGGACAGAUUCAACAAUUACAUAGUAUGGCGACCAUGGUCGCUACAUUGCUUAUUCUAUCUUUAAUGCUUCCAUGAUAUCACUCCAUAGCUCUUCGGAGUCCAAGUCGUUUGUGGGUAGUGGUGGUGCUUCGUACCACUCUCUCUCGGACGAGCUGUUUGCUGCUUCGCUCUGUUCACUCGUAUGGCAUUCGUCGGUGUCCUCCGUUGACCAUUGUGGUGUUGCGUUGGAUGCCCAUGUUUGGAUUUCUGACUCAACUGUGACUGGCUCUUUG
ensembl:lncRNA